rnacentral:rRNA from 1 species
UACAGAGGAUGCAAGCGUUAUCCGGAAUGAUUGGGCGUAAAGCGUCUGUAGGUGGCUUUUUAAGUCCGCCGUCAAAUCCCAGGGCUCAACUCUGGACAGGCGGUGGAAACUACCAAGCUGGAGUACGGUAGGGGCAGAGGGAAUUUCCGGUGGAGCGGUGAAAUGCGUAGAGAUCGGAAAGAACACCGAUGGCGAAGGCACUUUACUGGGCUAUUACUAACACUCAGAGACGAAAGCUAGGGUAGCAAAUGGG